UACGUAGGGUGCGAGCGUUAAUCGGAUUUACUGGGCGUACAGGGAGCGUAGGCGGUUGGGUAAGCCCUUCGUGAAAUCUCCGGGCCUAACCCGGAAAGUGCGGAGGGGACUGCUCGGCUAGAGGAUGGGAGAGGAGCGCGGAAUUCCCGGUGUAGCGGUGAAAUGCGUAGAGAUCGGGAGGAAGGCCGGUGGCGAAGGCGGCGCUCUGGGAACAUUUCUGACACGUGAGGCUCGAAAGCGUGGGGAGCAAACAGG
rnacentral:rRNA from 1 species